rnacentral:rRNA from 1 species
GACGAACGCUGGCGGCGUGCUUAACACAUGCAAGUCGAACGGUAAGGCCCUUCGGGGUACACGAGUGGCGAACGGGUGAGUAACACGUGGGUGAUCUGCCCUGCACUUCGGGAUAAGCCUGGGAAACUGGGUCUAAUACCGGGUAGGACCCUGGGAUGCAUGUCCUGGGGUGGAAAGCUUUUGCGGUGUGGGAUGGGCCCGCGGCCUAUCAGCUUGUUGGUGGGGUGAUGGCCUACCAAGGCGACGACGGGUAGCCGGCCUGAGAGGGCGACCGGCCACACUGGGACUGAGAUACGGCCCAGACUCCUACGGGAGGCAGCAGUGGGGAAUAUUGCACAAUGGGCGCAGGCCUGAUGCAGCGACGCCGCGUGAGGGAUGACGGCCUUCGGGUUGUAAACCUCUUUCAGCACCGACGAAGCGCAAGUGACGGUAGGUGCAGAAGAAGGACCGGCCAACUACGUGCCAGCCGCCGCGGUAA